GAUUUGGCCAAAUAAUACACUGAACUAACCACCUAAAUACACGUGACUAACCACCUAAAUAAUGGUUAGUCAUGUGUAUUUAGGUGGUUAGUUCAGUGUAUUAUUUGGCCAAAUC
rnacentral:pre_miRNA from 1 species